rnacentral:sRNA from 1 species
CCGGCAUGAUGUUUCUCUGUUUCAUCUCCUCGGUUCGUUUUGCUUCUCGCUUCUCAGUCUCGGCACCGAAUGCUUCAGUGCUGCAGCCUUAAAACACCUUGGGAGAUACUCAUGUCUACUCGUCAAAAUGGCACAGUCAAAUGGUUCAACGAUGAAAAAGGUUUCGGCUUUAUUACGCCGACCGAUGGCAGCGAAGAUCUGUUCGUUCAUUAUCGUUCAAUCGAAAGCACAGGCUUCAAAAGCCUGAGCGAAGGCCAAGCGGUCUCUUUCAUGGCUACCAAAGGCCAGAAAGGGAUGCAGGCUGAUCAGGUUCAAGUCUCCUAAGACGCCUGAUACAAAAAAGCCCCGCUUCGGCGGGGCUUUUU